rnacentral:rRNA from 1 species
AAGGUAGUGUAGUUAACACCUGCAUUAUUUGACGUUACCUACAGAAGAAGCACCGGCUAACUCCGUGCCAGCAGCCGCGGUAAUACGGAGGGUGCGAGCGUUAAUCGGAAUUACUGGGCGUAAAGCGCAUGCAGGCGGCCUGUUAAGUCAGAUGUGAAAGCCCGGGGCGUUAACCUCGGAAUUGCAUUUGAAACUAGGCAGGCUAGAGUCUUGUAGAGGGGGGUAGGAAGUUUACUAGGUGUAGCGGUGAAAUAGCGUAGAGAUCUGAAGGAAUACCAGUGGCGAAGGCGGCCCCCUCGGACAAAGACUGACGCUCAGAUGCGAAAGCGUGGGGAGCAAACAGGAUUAGAUACCCUGGUAG